rnacentral:lncRNA from 1 species
UUGGUAACUACCUCCCCCAGACUUAAACAACACUGUCCCCAGUGUUGCCAAGCUAAGAUUGGCGAUGAAAAAGAAAACAAAACUAAGAUAAAUGCAAAAGAAAUAGAAAGACUCACAAGUGGGUUGCCUCACACUAAGCGCUUGUUUUCAGUCAUUAGCUUGACUUUGUCGGGGCUCAAGCGUUCGGUGGAUCGGGAAGCAUUGGUAAAUGCCUCCGAGAAGAGUGUCUCAUCAUCCACGGCAGUGUAUAAGAAGCCACCAUGAACACAAAAGAAAAAGAAAAAUAAAAAGCUGUAAGUAAAAAAAUAAAUAGAAAAGCUUAGCCUAAAUUCUAACCUUAAUCUAAUGGUAAUCAAAAUUGAGUCCCCAGCAGCGGCGC